rnacentral:rRNA from 1 species
CUAUGUGUUGUUGGGUAGGGGAGCGUUCUGUAAGCCUGUGAAGGUGUACUGUGAGGUAUGCUGGAGGUAUCAGAAGUGCGAAUGCUGACAUAAGUAACGAUAAAGCGGGUGAAAAGCCCGCUCGCCGGAAGACCAAGGGUUCCUGUCCAACGUUAAUCGGGGCAGGGUGAGUCGACCCCUAAGGCGAGGCCGAAAGGCGUAGUCGAUGGGAAACAGGUUAAUAUUCCUGUACUUGGUGUUACUGCGAAGGGGGGACGGAGAAGGCUAUGUUGGCCGGGCGACGGUUGUCCCGGUUUAAGCGUGUAGGCUGGUUUUCCAGGCAAAUCCGGAAAAUCAAGGCUGAGGCGUGAUGACGAGGCACUACGGUGCUGAAGCAACAAAUGCCCUGCUUCCAGGAAAAGCCUCUAAGCAUCAGGUAACAUCAAAUCGUACCCCAAACCGACACAGGUGGUCAGGUAGAGAAUACCAAGGCGCUUGAGAGAACUCGGGUGAAGGAACUAGGCAAAAUGGUGCCGUAACUUCGGGAGAAGGCACGCUGAUAUGUAGGUGAAGUCCCUUGCGGAUGGAGCUGAAAUCAGUCGAAGAUACCAGCUGGCUGCAACUGUUUAUUAAAAACACAGCACUGUGCAAACACGAAAGUGGACGUAUACGGUGUGACGCCUGCCCGGUGCCGGAAGGUUAAUUGAUGGGGUCAGCGCAAGCGAAGCUCUUGAUCGAAGCCCCGGUAAACGGCGGCCGUAACUAUAACGGUCCUAAGGUAGCGAAAUUCCUUGUCGGGUAAGUUCCGACCUGCACGAAUGGCGUAAUGAUGGCCAGGCUGUCUCCACCCGAGACUCAGUGAAAUUGAACUCGCUGUGAAGAUGCAGUGUACCCGCGGCAAGACGGAAAGACCCCGUGAACCUUUACUAUAGCUUGACACUGAACAUUGAGCCUUGAUGUGUAGGAUAGGUGGGAGGCUUUGAAGUGUGGACGCCAGUCUGCAUGGAGCCGACCUUGAAAUACCACCCUUUAAUGUUUGAUGUUCUAACGUUGACCCGUAAUCCGGGUUGCGGACAGUGUCUGGUGGGUAGUUUGACUGGGGCGGUCUCCUCCUAAAGAGUAACGGAGGAGCACGAAGGUUGGCUAAUCCUGGUCGGACAUCAGGAGGUUAGUGCAAUGGCAUAAGCCAGCUUGACUGCGAGCGUGACGGCGCGAGCAGGUGCGAAAGCAGGUCAUAGUGAUCCGGUGGUUCUGAAUGGAAGGGCCAUCGCUCAACGGAUAAAAGGUACUCCGGGGAUAACAGGCUGAUACCGCCCAAGAGUUCAUAUCGACGGCGGUGUUUGGCACCUCGAUGUCGGCUCAUCACAUCCUGGGGCUGAAGUAGGUCCCAAGGGUAUGGCUGUUCGCCAUUUAAAGUGGUACGCGAGCUGGGUUUAGAACGUCGUGAGACAGUUCGGUCCCUAUCUGCCGUGGGCGCUGGAGAACUGAGGGGGGCUGCUCCUAGUACGAGAGGACCGGAGUGGACGCAUCACUGGUGUUCGGGUUGUCAUGCCAAUGGCACUGCCCGGUAGCUAAAUGCGGAAGAGAUAAGUGCUGAAAGCAUCUAAGCACGAAACUUGCC